rnacentral:lncRNA from 1 species
AAUAUGAUACAGACAGCACUACAUUCAGGUUGAAUCAAUAUGAUUACAGACGACUACAUUCAGGUUGAAUCAAUAUGAUUACAGACAGCACUACAUUCAGGUUUAAUCAAUAUGAUUACAGACAGCACUACAUUCAGGUUGAAUCAAUAUGAUUACAGACAAGCACUACAUUCAGGUUGAAUCAAUAUGAUUACAAGCAGCAUACAUUCAGGUUGAAUCAAUAUGAUUACAGACACACUACACAUUCAAGUUGAAUCAAU